rnacentral:lncRNA from 1 species
AGGAAACAUAAAUUCUCCCUUCCUCUCUCUCACGCCACCACCCCCUUCAUUUCCCUAGCUACCAUCAUCAAAUCAACUCUAAAUUAACAUGCAAUUUCAGAAAUGGAAUCUCCAUGAGAAACCAAAGCAAGAAAGCUACACUUCUUUCUUCUCUUCCCUCUUGGCCGAAAAUGUAUCUUCCAUGGUCAAGUCUUGUUUUUUCUCAAAUUGAAGCUUGGGAGUUGGGAGUACGAAUUGAACGAGAAAUUGGGAAGGAUUAAGCCUUUGGGUGCAUAGAAAAUAAGGUAUGGUUAGUGAUUCAUACUUCUCUUUCCAAUUUGAGAUUAAACCCUAACACCCAAUCCUCAUCUAUUCCUUAUUUGAUGUUGCAUGUGUGUUUAUACUCGUGUGGAGAACGUGAAACAUUGUAAGAAACAUGGAUUUCAAUAGUCAUGAGACCAUGGGUUUGAUUAUUCCAUGUUUUGGAGGAGAUUAAGUGAUCUUCGUAUUCAAGGACAGACCUACACUAAAAAGGUGGUUGUUCCCUCUCUUUAAAUCUGUUUCGUAUGGGGUUUGUUUCUACUGUUAGCUAACGAACCUACGGUCGUUUCGACACCAAUUUCAUGAAUUUUGCAGCAGUAUUGAGUUCAGGAGAAGCAUCUGAAGUUCAGGGUCUGAUGCAGAAUUUUGGGCUACGGGUUUGAAGUGUUGUGGCUGCAAUUUCUGUUUUUCAGCAAACUCCGGAUGUGUCAAUGGUACUGUUAAAGCGUCAAAUUCAGGUGGGUUCCUUUAAGUAAACUCUCACAUUAAUAGAGUAGUUCCUUAGUUUUUCCCAAAUUUAACUAUGCAUGUUAACAUUAGGAAAGUUACGUUACUUUAGGAAUAAUUCAUGAAAUCAUCUUAAUAAUUAAAUGGACAAACCCUUUACAUGUUUGAUUGGACUGGAAUCUAUGGAAUUUGGAACGAACAAUGAAAUUACAUAAGUUGAAAUUGUACUGAUAAUGUUAUAAAAUUAUGCAGGUCUACUGAUUUGAACUAGUUCAUGCACUACUUGAAUCGAUGCAUACUUCCCUUGAUCUGAAAAUACGCAUUUAUGGGUUUAUGAACCGGUGUGUGCUAAUUAGCAUGAAUCAGUGCAUAGACUCCAAGGAUGUUCUUAAAAACCUGGGAAAAAUGUGUCGAUACAACACAUGAAUAUACUGGUUCAAACUGCGAUCUGUGAGGAUUUUGCAUCGGUGCAAUCACUAUUGAACCGAUGCAUGGAACCAGAACUUGUAUUUUGAAAACAUGGGCUUGAUGCAUCGGUGCAAGGGUUAUUGAAUCGGUGUAAACUUGUAUUUUCAUGAAACUUAAGACUGGAAUGUAUCGGGCAAAGCUAUUUGAAUCGGUACAUCUUAGUACUUCUUUGAAAGACCUUUUGUCUUAUGUAUGAGAGGUUAUAACGACUAUUUAUUUCAACUAAAAGUCCUCCGUUAUGGAAAUUAUUUUAUAAACACAAUAAGUGACUAAAUUCCACGAUUACGGACUUUCAUACAGGUAUUAAAAUUAGUAGACAUAGGAAUUGAAUCAGGAUAUUCAGGAUAGUUAGAAUGGCCCCGGGAAGGUUUUCUUUUCUUUGGGUAGGAAAACAAUCAGGUUCAUGAUUAGAUAUUAGGAUUAUGAAUUACUAUUUGUCAAGUUGCUUGGUCAUUAACACCAUGUUAGGGGAUUCAAUCAGAAUCCAAAAUCUUGUAAUAAGAACUGUAAGCUCAUGUUGUAUUCCGACGUAUAUUAUUAUCGGUAAUGUUGGAUAUUUGUGUGUUGGCCUCAUUUUGCUAAAACAAAUAUACAAGCAAGAUGUUGGACCAAAUGUUUCAACAUGUUAGGUACAAAAGAUGUUGGACUAAAUGUUGUAACAUGUUUGGGUACGACAGUCAGAUUGCCCAAAUCUCGCGCAUUUAUUACACGUAUCUGCUAUAUAUGGAAAUCCACUCUAC